rnacentral:lncRNA from 1 species
GAAGUCAAACCUUGAAUUGAUGAUGGAGAACUUCAUAGCCGUACAAACUCAAACUAACAAGGAAGUCCUAAAUCAAAACAUACACACUAAUGAGCAAAUUAAGCAGUUAACAAGCAAAUUAGAUAUCCUAGCCACACACAAUAAGAUGCUUGAAACUCAAAUUUCACAAGUAGCCCAACAACAAGCAUCUACCUCUGCACCUGCAGGAACAUUUC